GGGUUUGAUUAUGGCUCAGAACGAACGCUGGCAGCAGGCCUAAUACAUGCAAGUCGAGCGCGCCCUUCGGGGUGAGCGGCGGACGGGUGAGUAACGCGUGGGAAUAUGCCCUUCUCUAAGGAAUAGCCUCUGGAAACGGAGAGUAAUACCUUAUACGCCCUUUGGGGGAAAGAUUUAUCGGAGAAGGAUUAGCCCGCGUUAGAUUAGGUAGUUGGUGGGGUAAUGGCCUACCAAGCCUACGAUCUAUAGCUGGUUUGAGAGGAUGAUCAGCCACACUGGGACUGAGACACGGCCCAGGCUCCUACGGGAGGCAGCAGUAGGGAAUCUUAGACAAUGGGGGCAACCCUGAUCUAGCCAUGCCGCGUGUGUGAUGAAGGCCCUAGGGUCGUAAAGCACUUUCGCCAGAGAUGAUAAUGACAGUAUCUGGUAAAGAAACCCCGGCUAACUCCGUGC
rnacentral:rRNA from 1 species